rnacentral:lncRNA from 1 species
UCAAGAUCUCAAAUUUUCUAUUUUUCAAAAAGACCUAUGUUUUAUUUAAAUCUUACACUGAUUUAAUUCUUAUUCUUCUUCGUAAAAUAAAAGAGAUUGAUGUGGAUUCAAAAAAAAGUAGAAUAAAAGAAGCAAAUAGAAGUAAAUCCAAGGAUGUUGUAAUUUAGUUAUUACGGGAUUAUUAGCGAGUCACUAAUGCACCAAGUACUCUCAUCAAAUA